GGUUAGACAAAGAAAAUAUGUGCUUUACAUUUUACUGUGAUUUAUUGAGAUAUUUGUUGCCUGAUGUUCAGCAGGAAUGGAGAAAUAGAAUCAAAGGGAGAUGUUUUUGAUGUUUUUGUAAUGAUAUGGGCAGCAUAUCAGUCUUGGACUGUCUAACCUGCAGCACUGAAUGACCACCACACAUGAGCAUGUUCCUGCAACAUUCAGCAUCUGAUCCUUCAUCUGUGUGCUUCUGCUUUUGUGUCACAUGUCAAACAGCUGGAGAGGAAACUACACCAGUGUACUGAGAUGUUUCACCAACACGUGCCAGAUGCUGUUCCUUCAUGGUGACAUCACCAGAGACAGCCCCGCCCACCUCAGGACCUCGCCAUUGAUCAUGAUGAUUAUAAUGAUGACAGCGAGCGGAACUAAGACUGUAAAAAUCCACGACCAGAAUGUUUCUUUCUAAUUAUGAACGAAUAGUGAGAGCCUCUUUCUGUGUUUUGUCUGUUUUGGGUUUUUACCUCAUUUGUUACUAACAAAGUUCACAAACUCACACAGUUUACAUUCUGUAUGUUUCCAUCUUUACCAGACACACUCUAACUGCAUUUAAGAAAAUAAUCCUUAAAAAUCGUCGUUUUUCUCUUUUGUAAUUGAUGAUAAUUCAGUGAAUAUACUGCGCUGCUUCCUUUUAUUGCGUCUCACAUUGCUUUAAGUUUUUCAGUGUCCAGUUAUUUUUUACUGCUGUUUGAAUUCUCUGUAUGUUUGACCCUGUAGACUGUUUGAUGGACUGCUUGUCUUCCUGUUUGUAACCGCCG
ensembl:lncRNA